GACGGAGGGUGCAAGCGUUGUUCGGAAUUACUGGGCGUAAAGCGCGCGUAGGCGGCUUUGUAAGUUAGAGGUGAAAGCCCGGAGCUCAACUCCGGAAUUGCCUUUAAGACUGCAUCGCUAGAAUCAUGGAGAGGUGAGUGGAAUUCCGAGUGUAGAGGUGAAAUUCGUAGAUAUUCGGAAGAACACCAGUGGCGAAGGCGACUCACUGGACAUGUAUUGACGCUGAGGUGCGAAAGCGUGGGGAGCAAACAGG
rnacentral:rRNA from 1 species